UACGUAGGGUGCAAGCGUUGUCCGGAAUUAUUGGGCGUAAAGAGCGUGUAGGCGGCCCGACCAGUCCGCUGUGAAAGUCCAGGGCUCAACCCUGGAAUGCCGGUGGAUACUGUCGGGCUAGAGUCCGGAAGGGGCGAGUGGAAUUCCUGGUGUAGCGGUGAAAUGCGCAGAUAUCAGGAGGAACACCUGUGGCGAAAGCGGCGCACUGGACCACAACUGACGCUGAGGCGCGAAAGCUAGGGGAGCAAACAGG
rnacentral:rRNA from 1 species